ACGAACGCUAGCGGCGCGCCUUAAGCAUGCAAGUCGAACGGUCACGUAGCAAUACGUGAUAGUGGCGGACGGCUGAGUAACACGUCGGUAUCUACUCUUUAGCGGAGGAUAGCUCACCGAAAGGUGAGGUAAUACUGCAUAAUCCCUUCGGGGGAAAGCAUUAACUGUGCACUGAAGAAUGAGCCGGCGGCCUAUCAGCUAGUUGGUGGGGGGUAACGGCCUACCAAGGCAAUGACGGGUAGGGGUGUGUGAGAGCAUGGCCCCCCAGAAUGGGACUGAGACACGGCCCAUACACCUACGGGUGGCAGCAACUGGGAAUCGUACGCAAUGGACGAAAGUCUGACGUCGCGACGCCGCGUGGAGGAUGAAGGCCUUCGGGUUGUAAACUCCUUUUGACCGAACCGCAAGGUCGGUAGAAUAAGCACCGGCAAACUCCGUGCCAGAAGCUUCGGUAAUACGGAGGGUGCAAGCGUUGUCCGGAUUUACUGGGCGUAAAGAGUCUGUAGGCUGUUUGGCACGUCUCGUGUUAAAGGUUUGGGCUUAACCCAAAACAUACAUGAGAUACGGCCUGACUUUAGAGAAUUUUCGGGGGGUACUGGAACUCACAGUGGAGGGGUGAGAUCCGUUGAUAUUGUGAGGAACGCCGACGGCGAAGGCUGGUACCUAGGAAAUUUCUGACGCUGAGAGACGACAGCUAGGGGAGCGAAAGGGAUUAGAGACCCCUGUAGUCCUAGCCGUAAACUUUGCUCGCUAGGGAUGCGCACUUGUGUGCGUUCCGUAAGCUAACGCGUUAAGCGAGCCGCCUGGGGAGUACGGUCGCAAGACUAAAACUCAAAGGAAUUGACGGGGGCCCGCACAAGCGGAGGAGCAUGUGGUUUAAUUCGAUGAUACGCGAGGAACCUUACCCGGGCUUGAAAGUUAGUGAAUGAUUCAGAGACGAAUCAGUCCUUCGGGACACGAAACUAGGUGCUGCAUGGCUGUCGUCAGCUCGUGCCGUGAGGUGUUGGGUUAAGUCCCGCAACGAGCGCAACCCCUAUGUUUAGUUGCCAGCAUGUAAAGGUGGGGACUCUAAACAGACUGCCUACGCAAGUAGAGAGGAAGGAGGGGACGACGUCAAGUCAUCAUGGCCCUUACGUCCGGGGCUACACACGUGCUGCAAUGGAUGGUACAGAGGGCAGCGACCUGGCAACAGGAAGCCAAUCUCAAAAAGCCAUUCACAGUUCGGAUCGGGGUCUGCAACUCGACCCCGUGAAGUUGGAUUCGCUAGUAAUCGCAGAUCAGCAAUGCUGCGGUGAAUACGUUCCCGGGCCUUGUACACACCGCCCGUCAAGCCAUGGAAGCUGGGGGUGCCUGAAGCCGGUAACCGCAAGGAGCCGUCUAGGGUAAAACCGGUAACUGGGGCU
rnacentral:rRNA from 1 species